GAACAGGCAGCAUCGUUUUUAACUUCUUGCAUUUCAACUUCAUUCUCGGUCAUUUCCUUUGAAAAUGUACAUUUAUCGGCAGAAGCUCCAAUAUCACAUGGAGAUUUGUCUGGCUCUUUAACCAGCCCCUGGUCUAUCAAUACGCUGCCUUCUCUUUGCAAUUUGGACUCCGUUGUUACAUCCUUCAUCUCAGUAUCUUCCAAAGCAGAAGGUUUAUCAUUAUUCUGCUGGAUAGAAGGUGAAUGUGAUUCUGGUAGAUUGUCCUUUAACUCAGCUUGUGCUUGAUUUGGAUCAAGUACUUGCUGUUCAGAAGAAGACUUCUGUUCCACAGAGAGAAUUUGAUUUAUCUGAUCACAA
rnacentral:misc_RNA from 1 species